CGUGUAGGCGGUUGGUCAAGUCUGGCGUGAAAGCCCGGGGCUUAGCUCCGGAAGUGCGCUGGAAACUAGCCGACUGGAGCGCGAUAGAGGAGGGUGGAAUUCCUGGUGUAGCGGUGAAAUGCGUAGAUAUCAGGAGGAACACCGGCGGCGAAGGCGGCCCUCUGGAUCGUUGCUGACGCUGAGACGCGAAAGCGUGGGGAGCAAACAGGAUUAGAUACCCUGGUAGUCCACGCUGUAAACUAUGGGUACUAGGUGUUCGGGGUGUUGACCCCCUGAGUGCCGACGCUAACGCAUUAAGUACCCCGCCUGGGGACUACGGCCGCAAGGCUAAA
rnacentral:rRNA from 1 species